rnacentral:tRNA from 1 species
AGUCUUAUAGUUUAAAAAAAACUUUAAAUUGCAAAUUUAAUAAUGAACAAUCAUCUAAGACUU